ensembl:lncRNA uncharacterized LOC107668676
CUCUUCGCGUCUGGGUCUCUCUUUCUCUCUCCUGUGGGCGCAAGAGGAGGUGACAAGGGAAACCCGCUAGUUCCUCCUCCUGCGCCUCUAUAUAACGCUCAUGAUGUCUCCCCUCGAGCAGAGCAGCACCUGCUUUGGAUGUACAGCGAUUUAUUUACACGCCGUUUCUCGAGAUGUCCGCGUCCGCAGAUGUUGAGAGCCAGUCGCCCGCCGUGCGCUCCCGCAGCCGGUGUCUGGACACCUUCCUCACCGUGUCCGUGAUCGCACUCUUCCUCAUGUUUAUGGCGACGCUCGCGGGAGCGCUGUACUUCGCCAAACACAUCGAGGACAAGAUAAACGCGCGGACGACGCGACAUAUAGACGGAGUUACGGACUCGCAGGCUGCGCCGUUCCGCGAGACCGGAGACGCGUAUAAGGUGCAGAAUUUUGUUUACCUGAGGGCCACUGAAAGUGAACUCAAAACAGGUGUGAUGGCGUGGGAACCUUUCGCGUAUGGAAAGGGUCAAACCAUUGGCUCUCUCUACAGCUAUGAGAAAAACCAGAAUGUGCUGAACAUCAAUGAAAGCGGAAGCUACUUCCUGUACGUCCAGCUCAAUUUUUCCUGCACUGGACGGUGUCCAUCUGGCCAAUUCACUGUCAGCUUUUACAAUAAACACAAUAGCGAAGAGCUCCCCUGCACCGUCUCGCUGCCUGAGCGGAGCAAAGAAACGCCUCACAGUCAGACGUGUUGGCGUGUCGUGACCUUUCAGGAAAAUGGAAACCGCCUCAUGGUCAAAUCACAGGUUGAAGGCACACUAGACAACUGGAAACUGGAGAUGAAUGACUCUGGCUUUGGGAUGUUUCUGGUGGACGGAUUAGGAGCGCUGCGUCACACGUGAUCAGCAGAAGCCCGACCAAACUGAUUUGGGGCUGCUCGUUUGAGUCGCGUCACUUUGAUCCACUCAGGACUUGUUUUUAAUGCUCUGAUGAGCAGGACUCCACUAAUGUCCACAGACUCUCUUGGCUAAUUUGGCAAUGCCUUCAGCUACCAAAAAGAGUGGCUCUUUCACGUUUUAGCCACAAUAUUCAAAUGCAUUCUGCCAAAUUUUGCAGAUUUUCCUCUACAACAAAAGCUCAGAAAAUGCAACGACGUCUAGAAACUUUGUCUGGGCUUGAACUGAUAAGCCAUGCUUCUUAAGCACUAUUUAUAAUUUAAAUGUAUUUAUAUGUGUAACAUGUUAAAUAUUUGCAAUAUUUAUAUUCAUAUUUUUUGUGUAUACUGUACAUAGUGUGUUUAAACAUUUGUAGACAUCACUACGUGUGUGAGGCGUCAGACCGAACCCUUUCGUUCACUGAUUGCAUGUACUGUAUUAUUCUACUGCUGUUUAGGUGCAUCACAGAAAUACCGAGUGAACUUCGACCAGCACAUCAACACUAGUGCCUCGGCUGGGUCUGUACGUUUCGCUCUACGUUCAAGAACUCAAAAAGCUGCAUGUGUGAAUGUACGUGAACAUCUCUUCACGAGCACGCGCUUGUGUUGUGCGUCUGGUGUGGAGGAAAGCACCGUAUGAAUGCUAACAAACUCAGGAACUCUAGGGAUGAAUGUAAUGACGAUGACUGUGUGUGAAGUGCAUUAUUAUGUAAACAGAG